rnacentral:lncRNA from 1 species
ACAUUCGGUAAAGACCCAGUUUCCCACUGGGGAGCCUGGCCAGCACUAGAAACUGAUCUUUAUUCCUCUGGCAAAUCAUCCAGCAGCAGCAGGUGAGUGGUUUUGUGUGCUGUGCUGUGCGAGCCUCUGCAGGGAGCUCUGAGUGGAGCAAGCCAGGAAUGCCGUGACCUAUGAUGAUGUGCACGUGAACUUCAAUGGGCAAGACUGGGCUUCCUGGAUCCUUCCCAGAAAAGUGUGUUCAAAAAUGUGAUGCUGGAGACCUACAGAAACCUCACUGUUGAGGGCUACAAAGGGGAAGACUGCAUUUUGAAGAACACUGUCAAAGUUCUAGAAGAUGAGGAUGAAUGCAGGAACGAAGUCAUACUGGAGGGAAACCCUAUGUUAGAAGUGUAUGGUGAGCGCUUACCUAGGAAGCGCAAGGCCCUGGGUUCGGUCCCUAGCUCCGGAAAAAAAGAACCAAAAAAAAAAAAAAAAAAAAAAAAAAAAGAAGUGUAUGCUUGAAACUGUGCUGCCAUCGGGAACAGCUCCUUCGCGUUCGUGCUGAUGAUGUCUGUGAUGGCUGUUAAUGGCUGUGGUCGGUGCUUCAGCUUGAGGCCAUGUUAAUGCCUGCAGGCCACCUUGCCAUACUACUGUUGGGACCACAUUAA